rfam:Schistosoma rodhaini strain Burundi genome assembly, scaffold: SROB_scaffold0004384
GCACUGCUGAGGAGUCCCAUAAUAGGGACGAAACGGCCGUCCAGUGU